rnacentral:rRNA from 1 species
AAGCAAUCCCUGAGUACAGUGGCGACCGGGUGAGUAACACGUGACUACCUACCCUUGAGUGGGGGAUAACCUCGGGAAACCGAGGCUAAUACCGCAUAACAUCGCAAGAUCAAAGGAGAAAUCCGCUUUUGGAGGGGGUCGCGGCUGAUUAGCUAGUUGGCGGGGUAACGGCCCACCAAGGCGAAGAUCGGUAGCCGGCCUGAGAGGGCGCACGGCCACACUGGAACUGAAACACGGUCCAG